rnacentral:rRNA from 1 species
GACGAACGCUGGCGGCGUGCUUAACACAUGCAAGUCGAACGGAAAGGCCCUGCUUUUGUGGGGUGCUCGAGUGGCGAACGGGUGAGUAACACGUGAGUAACCUGCCCUUGACUUUGGGAUAACUUCAGGAAACUGGGGCUAAUACCGGAUAGGAGCUCCUGCUGCAUGGUGGGGGUUGGAACGUUUCGGCGGUUGGGGAUGGACUCGCGGCUUAUCAGCUUGUUGGUGGGGUAGUGGCUUACCAAGGCUUUGACGGGUAGCCGGCCUGAGAGGGUGAACGGCGACAUUGGGACUGAGAUACGGCGCAGACUGCUACGGGAGGCAGCAGUGGGGAAUAUUGCACAGUGGGCGGAAGCCUGAUGCAGCAACGCCGCGUGCGGGAUGACGGCCUGCGGGGUGUAAACCGCUGUCGCCUGUGACGAAGCGGGAGUGACGGUAAUGGGUAAAGAAGCACCGGCUAACUACGUG